CUCCCCUGUCACACGCCCUGUGAGGGGGACAAGGGAACUUUUCCUGUUUCACUACUAUGCGGCUGGAGCCCAAAAGCACUCAUCCCAGCUCCUGCACCUGUCUGUCUGCAUGUUUCCCCCUCUUGUAAGGGGUUUGAGUACAUGGUGGCCAAGCAAACAGGCCACACCCUUGUUGCAAGUCCCGCGAGAGGUUCAGAGAACUCUCCCGUUUCACUCCUGCCUCAGGCCUCAGCCACCACAGUAAGUGGAACUCUAUACCUCCACCUCGCCUGGCUGGGUGGAGCCUCUAAACUCAGGAUUCUGCCUUGAGCUGUGGCUCUCCCCUCAGGUUGACAGGGUCCAGAGCAAAACCUACGGAAGAAGCUGCAGAGGCCAGGUGGAGGGAAGGAUGCUGAACUGGAGGAGGCCAGGAAAUUAUGAGGUGAUUCUAAGCACAUUAAAAUCUGGAUGACACUUAUCUGAAUCAUUUCGCAACUUGGAGAGAGAUGGAGAAGACACGCAUGGUGUAACUGGGCAUCACCAGAAUGUGCACUGCCAUCUGUGGCUGUCUUCCUGCUGGCAAAUCCUUUUCAUUCCAAGCAAAUAAGAUUCCCUAAAUUAGACAAAAAGGAAGAAACACAACAGAGUCCAUAAUUCUGAGAGGAAGAGAAGAGUGAUCAUCAGCAGCAAAAGGCAAUUGCAGAGAAGCACCACCAAGAGCCAGCUUCAUGCUCAGGAGUGAAUGCUGAGCCGCCUCCUCGUGGUUUCCGGUGCUCCACAUGUUCAGAGAAACUUCUCUGGUAAGAAACUAUAGAAAUGGUGCAUGGAAGUGUUACUAGAAAGGGUUCCUGAUCCAAACCCCAAGAGAGGGUUCUUGGAUCUCACGCAAGAUCCAAGAAUUUAGGGUGCAUCCAUAGAGUAAAGUGAAAGCAAGUUUAUUAGUGUAUUAGUUUGUUUUCAUGCUGCUAAUAAACACAUACCUGAGACUGGGUAAUUUAUACAGGAAAGAGGUUUAAUGGACUCCCAGUUCCACACGGCUGGCGAGGCCUCACAAUCAUGGUGGAAGGCAAGGAGGAGCAAGUCAUGUCUUACAUGGAUGGCAGCAGGCAAAGAGAGAGCUUGUGCAGGGAAACUCCCCUUUAUAAAACCAUCAGAUCUUGUGAGACUUAUUCACUGUCACGACAACAGCAUGGAAAGACCUGCCCCCAUGAUUCAAUUACCUCCCACCAGGUCCCUCCCACAACACAUGGGAAUUCAAGAUGAGAUUUGGGUGGGGACAUAGUCAAACUGUAUCAAUUGGGAAAGUAAAGGAAUAAAAGAAUAGGAGGAGCCAAGAUGGCUGAAUAGGAACAGCUCCAGUCUACAGCUCCCAGCAUGAGCGACGCAGAAGAUGGGUGAUUUCUGCAUUUCCAUCUGAGCUUUGAAAAGAGCAGUGGUUCUCCCAGCACGCAGCUGGAGAUCUGAGAAUGGGCAGACUGCCUCCUCAAGUGGGUCUCUGACCCCUGACCCCUGAGCAGCCUAACUGGGAGGCACCCCCCAGUAGGGGCAGACUGACACUUCACAUGGCCGGGUACUCCUCUGAGACAAAACUUCCAGAGGAACGAUCAGAUGGCAGCAUUCGCAGUUCACGAAAAACCGCUGUUCUGCAAACACCGCUGCAGAUACCCAGGCAAACAGGGUCUGGAGUGGACCUCUAGCAAACUCCAACAGACCUGCAGCUGAGGGUCCUGUCUGUUAGAAGGAAAACUAACAAACAGAAAGGACAACCACACCAAAAACCCAUCUGUACAUCACCAUCAUCAAAGACCAAAAGUAGAUAAAACCACAAAGAUAGGGAAAAAACAGAGCAGAAAAACUGGAAACUCUAAAAAGCAGAGCACCUCUCCUCCUCCACUAUUCACAAUUGCAAAGACUUGGAACCAACCCAAAUGUCCAACAAUGAUAGACUGGAUUAAGAAAAUGUGGCACAUAUACACCAUGGACUACUGUGCAGCCAUAAAAAAUGAUGAGUUCAUGUCCUUUCUAGGGACAUGGAUGAAAUUGGAAAUCAUCAUUCUCAGUAAACUAUCGCAAGGACAAAAAACCAAACACCGCAUGUUCUCACUCAUAGGUGGGAAUUGAACAAUGAGAACACAUGGACACAGGAAGGGGAACAUCACACUCUGGGGACUAUUGUGGGGUGGGGGGAGGGGGGAGGGAUAGCACUGGGAGAUAUACCUAAUGCUAGAUGAUGAGUUAGUGGGUGCAGCGUACCAGCAUGGCACAUGUAUACAUAUGUAACUAACCUGCACAAUGUGCACAUGUACCCUAAAACUUAAAGUAUAAUAAUAAAACAAAAAGGAAUAAAAGAAUAGCUACACCACAGACAGAGCAGCCCCAAGGGCUGCUGGUUGCCCAUUUUUAUGGUUAUUUCUUGAUUAUAUGCUAAACAAGGGGUGGAUCAUUCAUGCCUCCCCUUUUUUUAGGCCCUAUAGGGUAACUUCCUGACAUUGCUAUGGCAUUUAUAAGCUGUCAUGGUGCUGAUGGGAGUGUAGCAGUGAGGAUGACCAGAAGUCAAUCUCAUUGCCAUCUUGGUUUUGAUGGUUUUAGCUGGCUUCUUUACUGCAACCAGUUUUCAGUAGGUCUCAGCUUUAUUUUACCCAGCCCCUAUUCGAGAUGGAGUUGCUCUGGUUCAGACACCUCUGACAGAAGUAUAGUCUUGACAUCAGGGUUUUAAAAAGCUCCCCAGGUAGUUUUGGGUUUUAAAAAGCUCCCCAGGUAGUUUUAAAGUGCUUCCCAGAUUGAGAAGCACUAUACAAGAUUAGAGCUUUUAAAUUGCAGUGGUAAGUCACCUGGGAACCAUGCUAAAAAACACGAAUGCUGAUUUAGUCAGUAUGGGGAGGGGCCUGAGAUUCUGCAUUUCUAAAAAAGCUUCCAGGAGACCCAUUGCUGCUUGUUGAGGAAUAAACUUCCAAGGCACCAGAUGAGAUAAUCUACUUCCAAAUGUCCUCUAGUCAAGCCAGGACUCACGAGCUCUCAUGUUAUUUUCUUUCCAUCCUAACCCUACACAGACUCAAGUACCUCACGUUAUUUACAGGUAGAAAGGCAUUUUUGUGUAUAUACUGUUUUGUUUUUAAAUAUCUGAUAGCAAGGAAUCUUAUUCUAGUCAAACAUGAAAUAUUACCAGAAAAGUGCAAAACCGUAAAGUCCAAAUUCAGAAUGAUGACCUUAGGCUCACGAAACCAGAGUGCAAUUGCUGAUGUGAGGGAUGCACUUAGAACCCGAGUUGGUAUGGAACUCAUUUUAAACUGAAGCCACUGGGGAUUCAAUAGGUGCAGAAAGAAGCCUUCUUGGUGCUUCCUUUAUCUGACAAAAAGCAGAGACUUCUGGAAAAAUGAGGCUGCCAUACCUCCCUCUUACGGGUGGCUUUUACUCCCAGGAAGAUGAUCAAGAAACCUACCGUAAGUCCUCUCUCCAGGGAAGUUUUAUGGCCAUGAAUGAGAUACAGAGAUCACUCAGGCCUGCAUGAACAAGCACUAUCACAAACUCUUUAUCUCUCAUUUGUUCUUCUAGAAAUCCAUCUGUUCCUCCUAUAGAGGCCUUUUCCCCCACUGCCUCUUUUCCCUACUAAGCUGGGCAUAUAAGUUUCUAGCUUUAACUACUUACUGAGUUUCUUCUUUUUCAAGCUCCUAUAUGCAUAUAAAUAAGGUCCCCCUGCCCACCUGUUAAUCUGUCUUUUAUCAGCUUAAUUUGCAGGCCCCCAGGUACUGAACUUAAGAGGACAGAGGAAAAGUUUUUCCUCCCUGACACUGAGCAACCAGAGGCUGCUGUUAAGUAACCUUCCCUCAUUUCUACGUCUGUCCUCUGCCCCUUCCAGCCCCUCAACCCACAUUGUCUCUCAUGUUCCUAUUCACCUAAAAGAGGAAAAUCAUAUUAUUUCAAUAAACCUCUGCCUUAUAGUUUGUAAACUGUUUUCUGUUGUUUUUUUGUUUUGUUUUGAGACAGAGUCUUGCAGUGGCACCAUCUCAGCUCAGUGCAACCUCUGCCUCCCAAGUUCAAGCGAUUCUCCUGCCUCAGCCUCCUGAGGAGCUGGGAUUACAGGCGUGCGCCACCACGCCCAGCUAAUUUUUGUAUUUUUAGUAGAGACGGGCUUUCACCGUGUUGGUCAGGCUGGUCUCGAACUCCUGACCUCAUGAUCCACCCACCUCAGCCUCCCAAAAUGCUGGGAUUACAGAUGUGAGCCACCGAGCCCGGUCAACUGUUUUCUGUCCUUGUAAUUGGUAUAAUGACAAUUGCAUUAAUACUUCAUCUGCUGGACACUGGGUAAGAACUCUCCAAGUGUAAGUGGAAAUUUUUCUGCAAAUGGAUCUCAUGUUACAUAGCACAGGCCUACCAUAAUAUCAGAAUUACAGAAUUUGGAUUUGAACAUCAAAUACAGAUAUGUUCCCUAUAUACAUUUUCAUAAAUCAAUCAAAAGAAUCCUGUAAUCCUAGCACUCUGUAAUCCUAGCACUUUGGGAGGCCUAGGCGGGUGGAUCACCUGAGGUUAGGAGUCCAAGACCAGUUUGGCCAACAUGGUGAAAUCCUGUCUCUACAAAAAUUAAGUGGGCAUGAUGGCGGGUGCCUGUAAUCCCAGCUACUCAGGAGGCUGAGGCAGGAGAAUCGCUUAAACCCAGGAGGCAGAGGUUGCAAUGGUGCCAUUGUACUCCAGCAUGGGCAACUGAGUGAGACUCUGUCUGUCUCCAAAAAAAAAAAAAAAAAAAAAAAACCUGUCACACUCAAAGCAUGAUUUUUUUAAAGUAAAGGAACAAAAACUCUUUGGUCCCUACAGUCAUAUCUCACAGAUCUUAACAAACAAGUUCCUAAUUAAGUAAUAAUACAUAAAACUCAUAUUGGCCCAAGGUAGGAUCUAGAUGUUUUAGAAACUAGUCUAUUGGCCCUGACUCAGACCACAGGUGCUCACAGCCUCAGGCAGUGGGUCCCUUUGACAGCGGAAGGACUCCUGCCUUGCAAAGAUCAUUCACGGUAUUUGUCUACUCGGGCAUUUGGAGGAAUUUAUCUGAGAGAUCUCUGUUCCUCUGUGGCCCUGACAUGUCUUUUCUCCUCUUGUAUUUUCACUCUUACUUUUCUUCUUUCAGCAUUAGGAAUGCUUUCCUUUGUUCAAGCCAGCCCACUGUGUAAUCUUAACAACAUUCAUAAAAGGGAAUUCUUCAUACGUGCCCUUAGCUCACAGCGCCCCGCGUCAAGUUCUAGGAAUCCAUGUGUGAGGAACAAAGAGGAUUGUUUCGUCUGUAAAUGGGUUAUUCUGACAACAGGGCAAUUUUGGCUUCUCUCUAAGCUUCACAAAGCUUUGCAGCACAGCCCUGGCAAGGAAUCACAAUGACAAUGGCUGCACUGAAGCCACACACUCCAUGUGCAGGGCCGGAACAUGAUUAAAGCAAUCAAAUGCACGAGGUUUAGAGAAUGAACUGUUACAAAUUACAAGUUUGCAGGGGGAGAGGAUUUGGAAGUCUUUACUCAAGGUUCAAGCAUUAUAGCAAAUUGUGUCUAAUAUAAUAAUAUUAGAUUAUUAAUAUUAUUGUAGCUAAACUUUAACGCUUGUGAUAAAACACGUCAGAUUUAAACACAUCACUUUAAAUAGAAUUCCAAGGGUUAGGUCUUAUCUCCAUUUAGGAAGUGGGGAAACUGAGGAAUGAGGUUAUGAAAACUGCCUAAGGUUAAUCUGCUGGUGAGAGGCAGUGAUGGUGCUGGAAUCCAGGCCUCCUAGCUGUUGCUUCCUGCCUCAUCUUCUUCCUCUUUUUAGCUUCAGCAACAUCACAUGUUGCCUGGAGACCCACUGAAUGUUGGAUUCGGAGGUCACUUAGAGGUUACACUCCCCUCCCCUUCUUCACCUUAUGGGUGAAAAAGCAGAGGCUUGGGCAGGUCACUUGAGUUGCCCAAGGCCAAUUUAGGUGGAGCUAGGAGUACGACCUAAGUCUCCUGAGAUACAGCUUAAUAGGCUGUCUCCCACCCAGGGUUAUGUGUAUACUCUUUUCAUCCAAUUAAUUUUUCAGCCAACAGCUACAUCCUUUCAUUUGAGCCCUGUGCUUUCAAAUUACAUGUCUUCCCACUCAAAGAAGUGGGACUAAAUCCACAGAGUUUUGCAAGCUUAAAGGCACCUCUUAAAGAUCUGGAAGCCACCAGUAUUAUUCAUAUAAAUACAGAGCCAGGAGACGGAUCUCUAUAUUGCUUUAGGUAAAUCUCUUCUUAAAUUAAAACACAGAUUAUGUUACAGCAAGUCAUUAAGAGUCAUAAGAGGCAAAAGUGAGACAGUGAAUUGAUCAAAUCACCCACAGUCAUGGCGCAGACAUCAGUUUAGGCAAGUCAUCAUUUAACCUAAUUGAAGAGUUAAUACUUCCUACAUUCUUUACCUUCAACUUAUUUAUUUCUGGCCCUGAGUAUUUCAGAUGUGCUAAGUGCUGCCCUGAGAACUCCGUACUCACAACGUUCCUUUGCCCUUUCUUAAUCCUCCAAUGACAUUACCAGUGAGGUUCUGUUAUUAAAUCCAUUCCAUAGUCCCAAGAGACUGAGGUUUAAAGAAAUGAAGCAACCUGCCUGAGGUUGCUGAAGACUUUACCUGAAUCCAGGUGAUCCAGGUGCCAGGGGUCGGUGGCGGACGACAUGGGGGAGAGGGUCAGCGGCGAGGCC
rnacentral:lncRNA from 10 species